GAUGAACGCUGGCGGCGUGCCUAAUACAUGCAAGUCGAGCGAACGGACGAGAAGCUUGCUUCUCUGAUGUUAGCGGCGGACGGGUGAGUAACACGUGGAUAACCUACCUAUAAGACUGGGAUAACUUCGGGAAACCGUAGCUAAUACCGGAUAAUAUUUUGAACCGCAUGGUUCAAAAGUGAAAGACGGUCUUGCUGUCACUUAUAGAUGGAUCCGCGCUGCAUUAGCUAGUUGGUAAGGUAACGGCUUACCAAGGCAACGAUGCAUAGCCGACCUGAGAGGGUGAUCGGCCACACUGGAACUGAGACACGGUCCAGACUCCUACGGGAGGCAGCAGUAGGGAAUCUUCCGCAAUGGGCGAAAGCCUGACGGAGCAACGCCGCGUGAGUGAUGAAGGUCUUCGGAUCGUAAAACUCUGUUAUUAGGGAAGAACAUAUGUAAGUAACUGUGCACAUCUUGACGGUACCUAAUCAGAAAGCCACGGCUAACUACGUG
rnacentral:rRNA from 1 species